UCAAGCGACUAAGUGCAUGUGGUGGAUGCCUUGGCGAUCACAGGCGAUGAAGGACGCGGCAGUCUGCGAAAAGCCCCGGGGAGCUGACAACGAGCUUUGAUCCGGGGAUCUCCGAAUGAGGGAACUCCAAGCUUUAGCUUGAUCCAUGCGUGAAUACAUAGCGCAUGGAGGCGAACGCGGCGAACUGAAACAUCUCAGUAGCUGCAGGAAAAGAAAUCAACCGAGAUUCCGGAAGUAGCGGCGAGCGAAACCGGAACAGCCUGAAUUCGAUAUUGAGAAGAACACUGGAAGAGUCUGGAAAGGCUCGCCAUAGUGGGUGAUAGCCCCGUACGGGACGUUCAUCUCAAGGUACUGAGGAUUCGAAAAGUAGGUCGGGGCACGUGAAACCCUGGCUGAACAUGGGGGGACCAUCCUCCAAGGCUAAAUACUCGUGAUCGACCGAUAGCGUACUAGUACUGUGAAGGAAAGGUUAAAAGAACCCCGGGAGGGGAGUGAAAUAGAUUCUGAAACCGCAUGCAUACAAACAGUAGGAGCCCUUCGGGGUGACUGCGUACCUUUUGCAUAAUGGGUCAGCGACUUAUGUUAUGUGGCAAGCCUAACCGACUAGGGGAGGCGCAGCGAAAGCGAGUCCGAACAGGGCGAUUCAGUCGCAUGGCAUAGACCCGAAACCAGAUGAGCUAACCAUGGCCAGGCUGAAGGUGUGGUAACACACACUGGAGGGCCGAACCUACUGGUGUUGCAAAACCAGAGGAUGAGCUGUGGUUAGGGGUGAAAGGCUUAACAAAUCUGGAGAUAGCUGGUUCUCCCCGAAAACUAUUGAGGUAGUGCCUUGCGCAUGAGCUUCUGGGGGUAGAGCACUGUUAUAGCUAGGGGGACAUGGCGUCUUACCAAACUAUGGCAAACUCCGAAUACCAGAAAGCUUCGCGCAGGAGACAGAGCACCGGGUGCUAACGUCCGGACUCAAAAGGGAAUCAACCCAGACCGCCAGCUAAGGUCCCUAAUAUCAGCUAAGUGGAAAACGAAGUGGAAAGGCUAAAACAGUCAGGAAGUUGGCUUAGAAGCAGCCAUCCUUCAAAGAAAGCGUAAUAGCUCACUGAUCGAGUCCUUCCGCGCGGAAGAUGUAACGGGGCUAAGUUGAUAACCGAAGCUGCGGAUUCACACUUUGAGUGUGAGUGGUAGGGGAGCGUUCUGUAAGCCUGUGAAGGUGGAUCGUAAGGUCUGCUGGAGGUAUCAGAAGUGCGAAUGCUGACAUGAGUAACGAUAAAGCGGGUGAAAAGCCCGCUCGCCGCAAACCCAAGGUUUCCUGCUCUACGUUAAUCGGAGCAGGGUGAGUCGGUUCCUAAGGCCAGGCUGAGAAGCGUAGCUGAUGGAAAUCAGGUUAAUAUUCCUGAACCGACGUUGAAUGCGAUGGGGUGACGGAGCAGCCAGAGUGGACCGGGUGUUGGAUGUCCCGGCUUCCGAGCGAUGGGUGCCUGCAGGCAAAUCCGCAGGCGUAUACCCAGGACGAAGGAUCGGGCCUUCUUUUGAAGGCGAAGCCACUGGAAGCGCUUCCAGGAAAAACCUCUAAGCUUCAGUUCAACGGCGACCGUACCGUAAACCGACACAGGUGGGUGAGCUGAAUAUGCUCAGGCGCUUGAGAGAACUCGGGAGAAGGAACUCGGCAAAUUGACACCGUAACUUCGGAAGAAGGUGUGCCUUUGUAGCUUGAUGGGAGAGAAACCCAAAGGGUGAAGAGGUCUCAGAGAAUCGGUGGCUGUAACUGUUUACUAAAAACACAGCGCUCUGCAAAGAUGAAAGUCGACGUAUAGGGCGUGAUGCCUGCCCGGUGCUGGAAGAUUAAUUGAUGGGGUGCAAGCUCCUGAUCGAAGUCCCAGUAAACGGCGGCCGUAACUAUAACGGUCCUAAGGUAGCGAAAUUCCUUGUCGGGCAAGUUCCGACCUGCACGA
rnacentral:rRNA from 1 species